UCUUUUAAUAAAACAUAUUUUGGUCAUUUUUUUCUUUGAGUGCUAUUUUGUGAAAAAUCUAAAAUGGGCAUUAUAGGAAAUUUCUCUAUUUAAAAUUUUAAAAUUAGUACUUAUAUCUAUAAUAUAAAUGGACAACUUGUUUUCUGACAAAAAUAUAUGUUCAAUAUUUAUUAAAUAUUAAAAAGGAGUCAUAUUAAUUUUAUAUAUUAAUAUGUGUAUUAAUGUGUUUUUAGUUUGUAUAAAACAAUUAGUAAUACAACAUUAAUAAAUUAUUUGAAAUUGAAUUUUUUUAUGUCAAAUUUAUGUUAUUCAUGUACAAAAUUAUAAAUAUUUUUUGAAUUUAGGUAUUUUAUAAAUGGAUUAUUUAUUGUACCUGAAUACAUUUUAAAUUUACAAAUUUGGAAUGAUAUUUAGGAGUUAAUCACGCAUAGAAUUAUCUAUAUAUUUGGAAAAUAAUAAUGGCAAGGUAGUUUAUUUAGAUGAGAAUAAAUUACUAAUCAUGUUUUAGAUCUAUAUGGGAGUAUAUGUUUUAAUUAUAACGAAAUAUAUGGCAAGAUAAUAAAGUACUAAUACGUUUUUGAUUUAUAUGGCAAUGUAGUUUUAAUUAAAGCCAAAGAUAUGUGAGAGAAUCACGUUUUGGAUCUGUAUGGAAUGGACAUUAGAAGGUAAUAUUGAAGAAAAUUUAGGGCUAAUUUUUUUUUUUCCUCUGAAUAUUUAAUAUUAAGGGUCAAAGCCCAUCCGAAAACAUUACAAUAAGAAGCCCAAACAUCCGGCCCAACUAGAAAAAACCACAUACGGGCCUAAAGUCCAAACCCCACAGCCCAGAAGCUGGGAACCCUAGUCUCCCCAAGCUAACCGACGUCAACGACGUCAACGGCGUCGCACACCACCAGAUCGAGACCGUGCGACCUUCACCGCUCGGGAACCUUCAUCGGAGAGCAUCCAUCGAUCUAACACAUCGAGAUCUCGUCUCCGACAUCCAUGCAGCGGUUUCAGAUGAUAGAUCAAGAGGCAGAGAAGCUUUGAAGUGCAGACUCAUAGAUCGAGAAGAAAAGGAAUAAAAAACGGGAGCCAAAGAAACAAAACCGGAGAAUGCGAUACUAGAGGAGCUACCACCCCCCGGGAACACAAGCCGACGACAGCGGUACUGACAAAGCCACCGCCUCCCGGAAACAAAAGUCGACGAUAGCAGAGCUGUAGAAGCCUCUACCUCUCGGAAACAAAGCCGGCGGCGACGGAGCUGUCAAAGCCUCCACCUUCCGGAACCGGAGAACCACCGAAAAUUACAAACAAAACUAAAACGAGAGAAAAGGAAAGCUUAAACAAAAAACAAACCGGACCGACGGUGGCUGUGGAAGCCCACUCCGCCGGCCGGCGAUACAAAAUGUAUCGCCUGCCGAUGGAGUGGGCUUCUAAUAGAUUAGAUAGGAUAAUUAGACCCUCAGUCUGGAUCCCCUACUUCUGUUAAAAGCUCACCCACCUCUUUUUCUGAUAGGGCUAAAUCUAGCUGAACUGCAAAUCCAUAGCUCUGACUUAACCUCUGAUGAUCAACAGCUCUGUAGUCGUGACUCUGCCGUUGUGGAUUCGCAAAAAACUAGCACCCGUAGUUCCUCUGUUCUCAGGCUUACUGAUAAAAACCGGAGUCAAGGGAGUUUAUCUAAAAAGUCUGGGUUAGACAAAUGCUCGUAUGGUAUUAUAGAAUCUUGUAAGCCGCCUUUAUCUAAUGCCUGCGACCAAUCUCUAAAGAAAGCUCUGAUAGAUUGUAAGCGUGAAGAAAUCAAAGAGUGCAGCAAUAACCUUUCUUUGAGAACUCUGUUCUCUCUGGAGUUUACAAGCAAGUUAGAGAUCAGUGCAGAAGAAAUAGUCAGUUGCUAUGAGUUGCCUGAAAGUUUAGAUAAACACUUGCAAUGUCCGUUUUUCUGGGAAAGGAAAAGCCAUCUAGUAGUAGUUUUAGUGACAGCCGUUUGAAAGAAGCAUCCAGGAGAAGAGAUCAGAUAACUUCUUAUACUACCCCACUGUGAUGGAUUUUCAACAAAAUAAUCUCGAACAUUUUCAGACACACUGGUGCAAAGGGCAUCACGUGUGAAAAUACAAAAAGUAAUAAUAAUAAUACCACAUGUUGAUGUAUAUGAAUUUUUGACAUGAAUAGAGUGCCGCAUAACAUUUUUUAUACAUUAGCCAAAGAGGAUCCCGUCUGAUCUCAUAAGUAUGAACCGGGUCAAAACACACAAUUUUCAACGUGAUCCAUUUACAUAA